UACGUAGGGGGCAAGCGUUGUUCGGAAUUACUGGGCGUAAAGGGUUCGUAGGUGGCCAACUAAGUCAGACGUGAAAUCCCUCAGCUUAACUGGGGAACUGCGUCUGAUACUGGAUGGCUUGAGUGUAGGAGAGGAAUGCGGAAUUCCAGGUGUAGCGGUGAAAUGCGUAGAUAUCUGGAGGAACACCGGUGGCGAAGGCGGCAUUCUGGACUACAACUGACACUGAGGAACGAAAGCCAGGGGAGCAAACGGG
rnacentral:rRNA from 1 species